rnacentral:rRNA from 1 species
UACGUAGGGUGCAAGCGUUGUCCGGAAUUAUUGGGCGUAAAGAGCUCGUAGGCGGUUUGUCGCGUCUGCUGUGAAAACUCGGGGCUUAACCCCGAGCCUGCAGUGGGUACGGGCAGACUAGAGUGCGGUAGGGGAGACUGGAAUUCCUGGUGUAGCGGUGAAAUGCGCAGAUAUCAGGAGGAACACCGGUGGCGAAGGCGGGUCUCUGGGCCGAUACUGACGCUGAGGAGCGAAAGCGUGGGGAGCGAACAGG